rnacentral:lncRNA from 10 species
GUGGACUAGUUGCUGUGAAGUGGGGAAGGCUGAAGGAGGCAGACACCAAUUAGGAAGCUAUCAAUACUUAAUCCAGGUGAAAGAUGACAGUGGCUUGGACCAAGAUGGUGACACCAAAUGAGGCAGAGAGAGAUCAAUUUCUAGAUAGGUUUCUAAGUAGAGAUGACAUGUGUAGCUGACAGCUUGGAGGAAAGUUGUGCAAAAGAGAGGAGUCACAAAACAGUCCAGGGUUUUGGUCUCAGCCACUAGAAAACUGGUGUUACCAUUUACUGAUUUGGAGAAGACCAUGGAAAGGAAGUUUGGGGGGUGGGAAUCAGGAGUUUAAUUUGGACAUAUUAAAUUUGAGAUGAUGCCAAUUACAUCCAAGCAAAGUUGAAUAGGCUGUGUGUGUGUGUGUGUGUGUGUGUGUGUGUGUGUGUGUGUGUGUGUACAGGUGUCAUCAGCAUUUGAAACUGAGUGAGGUCACCAAGAGAAGGAAUGUUAAAUAGAUACGCAGUCAGAGAAAUGAUCUGGGCUCUUAAUCAUAUAGAGGUCAGGAGAACCAGGGAAGGAGCAGUCAAUGAGAUAAGAGAAUCAAGAGGGAGAGGCAUUCCAAAAGCCAAACUGUUAAAAAACAAAAAAAAAGGUUUUAGCAGGGAGUAACUUUCAAAGGUUUUAGAUAGGGCAAUAAGACAAGAUUUGAGAAUUAACCAUGGAGGUCAUUGCAUUCCUUAACAAAAACAGUUUCUAUGGAGUAACGGAGAUGAAAGCCUAAAUUGGAUUUAUCCAAGAGAACAGAAGAGGAGAGAAAUUGGACACAGUGUGUACAGACAGUUCUUUCAAGAUUGAUAAAAUAAAGGAGGACAAAGGGGCCAGAGCUGCAGGGAGAUGCAGGGUCAAGGUUUUUUUUCUCUAAACCUGGGAUAUAAAUAUAAAUAUGUAUGUUUAUAUUGCUGCUGGUGGUAAUUCAGUAGUGAGUGAAAAAUUCAGAAGAGGGAGAAUUGCUGGAUCAAUAAAUGUCCUUAGGUAGGCAAGAGAUG